GGAGAGAUGGCUCAGUGGUUAAGAGCACUGACUGCUCUUCCAGAGGUCCUGAGUUUAAUUCUCAGUAACUGCA
rnacentral:tRNA from 1 species